rnacentral:rRNA from 1 species
ACGAACGCUGGCGGCGUGCUUAACCCAUGCAAGUCGAACGGAAAGGCCUCUUUCGGGGGGUACUCGAGUGGCGAACGGGUGAGUAACACGUGAGUAACCUGCCCUUGACUUUGGGAUAACUUCAGGAAACUGGGGCUAAUACCGGAUAGGAGCUCCUGCUGCAUGGUGGGGGUUGGAAAGUUUCGGCGGUUGGGGAUGGACUCGCGGCUUAUCAGCUUGUUGGUGGGGUAGUGGCUUACCAAGGCUUUGACGGGUAGCCGGCCUGAGAGGGUGACCGGCCACAUUGGGACUGAGAUACGGCCCAGACUCCUACGGGAGGCAGCAGUGGGGAAUAUUGCACAAUGGGUGGAAGCCUGAUGCAGCAACGCCGUGUGCGGGAUGACGGCCUUCGGGUUGUAAACCGCUUUCGCUCAUGACGAAGCUUUGUGUGACGGUAGUGGGUAAAGAAGCACCGGCUAACUACGU